UUCACAACAGCUAUGGCACAGCUGGCAAAGCCUAAGUUAUUUCCUAUCUGACCCUCUGCAGAAAAAGUUUGCCAAGCCUGGAUCUCAGGGAAGGUGUUCCAGGGACACUGCCGACUGCUAAGUGGAGUCGAUCAAGAAAAUUGGCAACAGGGAAACGAUGGAUAGGACUCGGUGCCCUGAGACACUGGCUCCACCUGACCAGUGGGUGGCUUUGCUGCGGCCUGCAUCUUCCGUGCCACCUCCUACCGACCCGGCUUUAGCUCGGAAACCCAUGGGAUGGCCCAAUCCCUCAAGCUCUCUGCUUAAAUGAGGACCAAUGAUUUGAGGGGUCAGAUGAACAAUAUUAAAAUGAAACAAUAUCAAACCAACAGAAGCAGAGCAGCAAAGAGUGUGACAUUAUCACAAACCAGAGGACAUCAGUGACAUGAUAAUAAAAUGUGAUGGGUAGCCUGUGCUGGGUCCUGAAGCAGAAAAAGGACAUGAGUGGGAAGAUUCCUGAAAUGUGAAUGAAGGCUGACAUUUUGAUAGUAGUAAAUGUACCAGGGUUGACUUCCUACUUUUAACAAUACAAAAUGUCAAUGUUCUGCAUUAUGUUUGCAAUUUGGCUGUUUUUCUAUAAACCUAAAAUGAUUCCAAAAUAAAAGUUUAUUUUCAACCUCCCAAAAAAA